AACUCGGUUGCAACUAUUUCUCAUUUGGAAAAAGUGUCGAGCCACUCAGCCUCCUUCAAUUCAACCAUCGAACCUAUUCUUCUUUCUCUUUCACUACAACCCUCACUGAAUCAGUGCUCUGGCCAUGGUUCUCUCUCGUCGAGCCCUCCUUCCCUUUUAGUGGAGCCUUGGUUCUCUCUCGUUGAGCUUUCAUAGGUCGCGCAUUGGAACCCUAAUUUUCCCUCAUUCGAACCAUCAUUGUGCGUCAUUGGUACCAUAGUUAAUUGUUGGUGUGCGAAGUGAUUCGCAAAAAAUGGGAGCCUUGCCAUUUUCUUGGUGAAGCUUUUCGAUAGAAGACCUGAGAAGCGUUACAAAUGGGAGCCUCUGAAGGAGGACGUUGAGCUGGGAAACUCUACCUAUCCCAUGGUUCUGGUUCAAGUCCCAAUGUACAACGAAAGAGAGGUUUAUCAGCUCUCAAUCGGUGCCGCUUGUGGGCUUUCUUCAUGGUAUUUAUUCUUAACCUCUACAGGUUAUCCUGUUGAGUUUUUUAUGAGGGAUGUUAAAACAAGGGAUGUGGCUUGUUAUCUAGCACUCAAGGUAUCCAAAUCCAAGAUGCAUCGUGAUUUUUGGGGUUUUUAAGAAGACUAUGGCUAUCGCUAUGAGGGUGAUCAUACUCGAGCCUUACUUCCUUGUGAGGUUGGAUCCCAAUGCACAAAGGUAGGAUCUGAUAAAUAGUAAUGACAGGAUUCCUUUUGCAAUAGCUUGUCUGAGGAGGAACUUACACAAGUACAAGAUUACAACUUUGACCACCCUGAGUGAAGGAUAAAACAUGUAGGCUGUGUGGAGCCCUGAUGCCAAAUUAAUUGUUAUUCUUACAUCUACCUUCUUUCUUCAUAGUUUCAAAGUCCAGUUCUCAGAUAAAAGAAUACACACUGGUGGUAGACAACCCUCUGCUUUUUGCCUAGCUAUAAUUUCUCUUCUGCUUACAAAGCAAGUUCCUUUUGCAGUAAAGGAUUUGUAUGUAUCCCAUCAAGCUUGAAGGUCUUCCACCCAAUAAUUUUUUGUGCAGCAUUUGCAGAGCUAGCAGGAAUUGUUUCGGAGUUUCUUUGAGUAGAGCUUGAAUCUAUUUUAGGUGUAAAUUAUAGUUUAGUUAAUAUUCAACUCUAUAUUGUACGAGGGCCAGUUUGUUUUGAACUCUAUUUAUAGAGUCUUUCAAUAAAAAUUUUAUGUUUUAAUUA